rnacentral:rRNA from 1 species
UACGAAGGGGGCUAGCGUUGCUCGGAAUCACUGGGCGUAAAGCGCACGUAGGCGGAUUGCUAAGUCAGGGGUGAAAUCCUGGAGCUCAACUCCAGAACUGCCUUUGAUACUGGCGAUCUUGAGUCCGGGAGAGGUGAGUGGAACUGCGAGUGUAGAGGUGAAAUUCGUAGAUAUUCGCAAGAACACCAGUGGCGAAGGCGGCUCACUGGCCCGGUACUGACGCUGAGGUGCGAAAGCGUGGGGAGCAACAGG